rnacentral:rRNA from 1 species
GAAAGUAAGAAAGGGCGUAUGGCGGAUGCCUAGGCUCACGGAGGCGAUGAAGGACGUGAUAAGCUGCGAUAAGCUUCGGGUAGGUGCAAAUAACCUUUGAUCCGGAGAUUUCCGAAUGGGACAACCUAGCCGUCUGAAGGACGGUUACUAGCACUUAUGUGUUAGAGCUAACGCAGGGAACUGAAACAUCUUAGUACCUGCAGGAAGAGAAAAUAAAUUAAUGAUUCCCCCAGUAGUGGCGAGCGAACGGGGAACAGCCCAAACCAGUGGCGUCGCAAGGCGUGGCUGGGGUUGUAGGACCGCGACAUUGUAUGCAAAUCGUGAACAGAACACUUUGGAAAAUGUGACCAUAGACGGUGAUAGUCCAGUAUGUGAAGCGAAAUGCAGCAUAGCGGUAUCCUGAGUAACGCGGGACACGAGGAAUCCUGCGCGAAUCUGCCGGGACCAUCCGGUAAGGCUAAAUACUCCCGUGAGACCGAUAGCGAACGAGUACUGUGAAGGAAAGGUGAAAAGAACCCCGAGCAGGGGAGUGAAAUAGUUCCUGAAACCAUGCGCCUACAAGCGGUCGGAGCAUCUUACGAUGUGACGGCGUGCCUUUUGCAUAAUGAUCCUACGAGUUACCGUCACUGGCGAGGUUGAGUGUCAUGAGACACGUAGCCGCAGUGAAAGCGAGCCUGAACAGGGCGCACAGUCAGUGGGGGUAGACGCGAAACCAAGUGAUCUACACUUGGCCAGGAUGAAGUCCCGGUAACACGGGAUGGAGGUCCGCACCAAUAAGCGUUGAAAAGCUUCUGGAUGAGCCGAGUGUAGGAGUGAAAGGCCAAUCAAACUUGGAGAUAGCUCGUACUCCCCGAAAGGCAUUUAGGUGCCGCGUCGGAUGGUCACCGUGAGAGGUAGAGCGACCGAUAGGACAAGAGGGCUUCACCGCCUAUCGAGUCCUGACGAACUCCGAAUGCUCACGGUCUGCAGUCCGGCAGUAAGGGGGCGGGUGCUAAGGUCCGUCCCCGAGAGGAGAAGAAUCCAGACCGCCGUCUAAGGUCCCGGAGUUCUGCCUGAGUUAGUCUAACGAAGUCUGGUCCCUAUGACAGCUAGGAUGUUGGCUUGGAAGCAGCCAUUCAUUCAAAGAGUGCGUAACAGCUCACUAGUCGAGGGUCCGGGCAUGGAUAAUAAUCGGGUAUAAGGCAGACACCGAAGGCGCGGGAUAGCAAUUGUAAAAGUAUCGGUAGGGGAGCAUACUCACAGCGUCGAAUGGUGUACGUAAGUUAUCCUGGAGCGGUGAGUAAAGCAAAUGUAGGAAUAAGUAACGAUAAGGAGGGUUAGAUUCCCUCCCGCUGUAAGACCAAGGUUUCCCGGGCAAUGCCAAUCAGCCCGGGGUCAGUCGGGUCCUAAGUCUAAGCCGAACGGCGAUGGCGAUGGCAGAGACGGUUAAUAUUCCGUCACUGCCGCAUGGGGCGACGUGGAGACGGAGCAGUGAAACCACCGCGGGGCGACGGAAGUCCCCGUUGAAGAGUGUAGGUGUUGAGGAUGGCAGGCAAAUCCACCAUCCGAGCUGAACUUGACAGUAUGGAGUCUUCUUCGGAAGAAUCCAAUAGUGUGGGUAAUCAUACUCCCGAGAAAAUCCGCUAAGCUUAACCCAUGCGGCACCCGUACCGCAAACGGACACACGUGGUCGGGUAGAACAUACUAAGGCGUUGAGAGAUUCAUGGUUAAGGAACUAGGCAAAUUGACCCUGUAACUUCGGGAUAAAGGGUCCUCGUGAUGAGCGAGGCGCAGAGAAUAGGUCCAGGCAACUGUUUAACAAAAACACAGGGCUGUGCAAACUCGAAAGAUGAGGUAUACAGCCUGACACCUGCCCGGUGCCGGAAGGUUAAGAGGAGAUGUCACUCUUUGGGAGGAAGCAUUGAAUUGAAGCCCCGGUAAACGGCGGCCGUAACUAUAACGGUCCUAAGGUAGCGAAAUUCCUUGUCAGGUAAGUUCUGACCCGCAUGAAAGGCGUAAUGAUUUGGGCACUGUCUCAACAGCCCGCCCGGCGAAAUUGUAGUACCGGUGAAGAUGCCGGUUACCCGCGACAAGACGGAAAGACCCCAUGGAGCUUUACUGUAGCCUAAUAUUGGGUUUCGAUGUUGCAUGCACAGGAUAGAUGGGACUCUGGGAAACCAGUGCUUUGGCGCUGGCGGAGAGGCCGUUGGGAUACCAUCCUUGCGAUAUUGGAAUUCUAACCUGCGCCUUUGAAUCAAGGCGGGGGACAUUGUUAGGUGGGCAGUUUGACUGGGGCGGUCGCCUCCUAAAGAGUAACGGAGGCGUUCAAAGGUUCGCUCAGCUUGAACGGAAAUCAAGCAAAAGAGUGCAAACGCAGAAGCGAGCCUAACUGCGAGACUGACGGGUCGAGCAGUAACGAAAGUUGGAGUUAGUGAUCCGGUGGUAUGUGAGUGGAAAUGCCAUCGCUCAACGGAUAAAAGUUACCCUGGGGAUAACAGGCUGAUCUCCCCCAAGAGUCCACAUCGACGGGGAGGUUUGGCACCUCGAUGUCGGCUCAUCGCAUCCUGGGGCUGUAUUCGGUCCCAAGGGUUUGGCUGUUCGCCAAUUAAAGCGGUACGCGAGCUGGGUUCAGAACGUCGUGAGACAGUUCGGUCCCUAUCCGGCGUGGGCGUAGGAUAUUUGAGAGGAGCUGUCCUUAGUACGAGAGGACCGGGAUGGACGGACCACUGGUGUAUCUGUUGUCGACCAACGGCAUGGCAGAGUAGCCAAGUCCGGAAGGGAUAAACGCUGAAGGCAUCUAAGCGUGAAGCCCCCCUCAAGAUGAGAUAUCCCAUUCGAAAGAAGUAAGACCCCUUGAAGACGACGAGGUAGAUAGGGCAGAGGUGGAAGUGUGGUAACACAUGGAGCUGACUGUUACUAAUCGGGUGAGGGCUUGACCAA